AUGAAGAAAGGUGCUCUCGCUCUCUUCCUCAUCCUCCUCACCUUUGCUUUCCAUGGCAUAUGGUGUGAAGCAGCUCGGAGAGGCACCAUGCCUGAUGCAGCUCAUCAUCAUCUGAGGCCUCAUCUCCAGGUGCAGAGAUUGCAUGAAACCCAAGGCAGGAGGCUCCUGGGGAAGCUGGAGCACAUGGCAGGUGGUGGCCCCGGCGGUGGAGCAAGUGGCGGCGGGAGGAACACCGGUGGCGGUGCGGCGAACACGAGGCCGCACAAUACCAAGAACGGCGGCGCUGUGGCGCUGCCGGACCCGGUGACCUCCGUUCUGGCACUGGUCUUCAGCACUACCAUUCUUCUCUCGGUGCUCAGCUUCUAA
rnacentral:rRNA from 1 species